GAUGAACGCUGGCGGCGUGCCUAAUACAUGCGAGUCGAGCGAACAGACGAGGAGCUUGCUCCUCUGACGUUAGCGGCGGACGGGUGAGUAACACGUGGAUAACCUACCUAUAAGACUGGGAUAACUUCGGGAAACCGGAGCUAAUACCGGAUAAUAUAUUGAACCGCAUGGUUCAAUAGUGAAAGACGGUUUUGCUGUCACUUAUAGAUGGAUCCGCGCCGCAUUAGCUAGUUGGUAAGGUAACGGCUUACCAAGGCAACGAUGCGUAGCCGACCUGAGAGGGUGAUCGGCCACCCUGGAGCUGAGACACGGUCCAGACUCCUACGGGAGGCAGCAGUAGGGAAUCUUCCGCAAUGGGCGAAAGCCUGACGGAGCAACGCCGCGUGAGUGAUGAAGGUCUUCGGAUCGUAAAACUCUGUUAUUAGGGAAGAACAAAUGUGUAAUUAACUAUGCACGUCUUGACGGUACCUAAUCAGAAAGCCACGGCUAACUACGUG
rnacentral:rRNA from 1 species